GAUAAACGCUGGCGGCGCACAUAAGACAUGCAAGUCGAACGGACUUAACCGUUAGUUUACUAAUGGAGCGGUUAGUGGCGGACUGGUGAGUAACGCGUAAGCAAUCUGCCUGUUAGAGGGGGAUAACAGUGAGAAAUCACUGCUAAUACCGCAUAUGCUGUGAACAUCACAUGAUGUAAACAGGAAAGGAGCAAUCCGCUAAUAGAUGAGCUUGCGUCUGAUUAGUUAGUUGGUGAGGUAACGGCCCACCAAGACGAUGAUCAGUAGCCGACCUGAGAGGGUGACCGGCCACAUUGGGACUGAGACACGGCCCAGACUCCUACGGGAGGCAGCAGUGGGGAAUAUUGCACAAUGGAGGAAACUCUGAUGCAGCGACGCCGCGUGAGCGAAGAAGUAUUUCGGUAUGUAAAGCUCUAUCAGCAGGGAAGAUAAUGACGGUACCUGACUAAGAAGCUCCGGCUAAAUACGUGCCAGCCGCCGCCGUAAG
rnacentral:rRNA from 1 species